UAGUCUGAUCUCCAGUCGAGCUGAGGUUGU
rnacentral:piRNA from 1 species